GAUGAACGCUGGCGGCGUGCCUAAUACAUGCAAGUCGAGCGAACAGACGAGGAGCCUGCUCCUCUGACGUUAGCGGCGGACGGGUGAGUAACACGUGGAUAACCUACCUAUAAGACUGGGAUAACUUCGGGAAACCGGAGCUAAUACCGGAUAAUAUAUUGAACCGCAUGGUUCAAUAGUGAAAGACGGUUUUGCUGUCACUUAUAGAUGGAUCCGCGCCGCAUUAGCUAGUUGGUAAGGUAACGGCUUACCAAGGCAACGAUGCGUAGCCGACCUGAGAGGGUGAUCGGCCACACGGGAACUGAGACACGCUCCAGACUCCUACGGGAGGCAGCAGUAGGGAAUCUUCCGCAAUGGGCGAAAGCCUGACGGAGCAACGCCGCGUGAGUGAUGAAGGUCUUCGGAUCGUAAAACUCUGUUAUUAGGGAAGAACAAAUGUGUAAGUAACUAUGCACGUCUUGACGGUACCUAAUCAGAAAGCCACGGCUAACUACGUG
rnacentral:rRNA from 1 species